CGUUCUUCGGAAAAGGUUCAACGUCCAGUUUAUAGUACUUUGCUAAUAUGAAGAAUCGGACCUGCCCAGUGACUAGUGUGUUUAACGGCCGCGGUACUCUGACCGUGCAAAGGUAGCAUAAUCAUUUGCCUUUUAAUUGGAGGCUUGUAUGAAUGGUUUGACGAAAGCUAAGCUGUCUCUUUUUAAAUUUAAAGAAAUUAAUUUGUAGGUGAAGAAGCCUACAUCUAACUGAGGGACAAGAAGACCCCGUUGAGCUUUAGUAAUCUAAUAGAAUUAAAAAACGAGUGACAUAAACUUAUGUAUAUGCGUAAUUGCAGUAUAUAUGUAAAUACUUUUUAUUAGAAAUCUUUAGUUGGGGCGACUGAGGAAUAUAUAAAGCUUCCUUUGAUUAUUGUAAAGUGGAAUUCAUUCUAAUUUAAAUAGAUCCAAUAGUUAUUGAUUAAAGGAAAAAGUUACCACGGGGAUAACAGCGUAAUCUUUCUGGCGAGUUCUUAUCGAAAGAAAGGUUUGCGACCUCGAUGUUGGACUAAGAUAUCCUAAGGGUGUAGAAGCUCAUAAUGGUUAGUCUGUUCGACUAUUAAAAUCUU
rnacentral:rRNA from 1 species